CAAUAGCGUAUAUUAAAGUUGUUGCAGUUAAAAAGCUCGUAGUUGGAUUUCGGGGCAGCCUGGCUGGUCCGCCGCAAGGCGAGUACUGGUCAGCCGCCCUUCCUCUCGAAAGCCCCGACUGCUCUUUAUUGCAGUGGUCGGGUAGUUCGGGACGUUUACUUUGAAAAAAUUAGAGUGUUCAAGGCAGGCCUACGCCUGAAUGCAUUAGCAUGGAAUAAUGGAAGAGGACCUCGGUCCUAUUUUGUUGGUUUCCAGGACCGAAGUAAUGAUUAAGAGGGACAGUUGGGGGCAUUCGUAUUUAAUUGUCAGAGGUGAAAUUCUCGGAUUUAUGAAAGACGAACAACUGCGAAAGCAUUUGCCAAGGAUGUUUUCAUUAA
rnacentral:rRNA from 1 species